GUCGCGAUGACGUAAUCACGUACUUUCUGAAGUGAGUUUCACGGCACGGACGACGCACAUCCAUGGAACUUGGCUGAGGCGAUAAAGAAAAAAUCUCUUGCAUCACUUCAGAUUCAACCGAUCAAUCACAUGUAUGGAUGGUUUCGUCAUGGCCGACCUUCUGCUUAUCCAAACCCGAACAUUAUCGAGCACAACCCUCAACCGAAAUGUCCCUUCAGGGCGUCAAGUGCUAUUCUGAAAAUGUUCGAGUCUGGCGUUUUGAACAUGUGACACGAAGUUCGUUCCUGGGAGCACGAACUGGACAAGUACUGGACUGUACUCCAUUUUGGGGCUGGGAUGUGCUGCCAAGUUCCUAAAGGAUUGAAAUGCAGGAUGGACCUCACUGCUGCUGUGUCUCAACGUGGACUCAUCUGGACUCUGCACAAACUCAAUCGUUGGGGCUGUAUUUGUUGCUGUUUCGGUUUGGGGUGUGACAUCUUCCAUUCGCACCUGUUUUUGGAAGUUUUUUUUGCAAGGAGUGAUCAAGACAGCGGUCUGUUGCCUAUACAUCAUGCAAAUAAAGUGAUGUGUGAAAAGAACAUGUUGCACACUUGGAACAAGAUCAUCCUUUGGGCCACGUCCUCCAGCCAUCCAGAAAUCACCACCAUCUUUUUCUCUUCACGUAGCUCAGAUUGUUUUGAAGGCCUCAUGUACAUUUGAAGACUGAGCAACGCAUCUUCUGUCAUUAAAUGGGGGGGGGGGGGGGGGGGGGGGGGGGGGGGGGGGGGGGGGGGGGGGGGGGGGGGGGGGGGGGGGGGGGGGGGGGGGGGGGGGGGG
rnacentral:lncRNA from 1 species